ensembl:lncRNA
AACACUCUCUUCUUUCUAAUUUCCACCUACCAUCAUGGCCUGGGGCUCACUGUGCUGGUUCAUUUUGUUUCCAUUGUGAAGUGAAGUGAAAGUCACUCAGUCAUGUCUGACUCUUUGCGACCCCCAUAGACUGUAGCCUGCCAGGCUACUCUGUCCAUGGAAUUCUCCAGGUCAGAACACUGGAGUGGCUAGCUGUUCCCUUCUCCAGGAGAUCUUCUUAACCCAGGGAUCAAACUCAGGUGUCCUGCAUUGGAAAAAAAAUUUCUUUACCACCUGAGCCACCAGAGAAGCCCUUCCUUCCUUUGGAGGUUCUUUGUUGUCCUCUCAACAUGCUUGUUGAUGUCAUUAUAUCCAUCAUCAUCAUCAUAUCAGUGGCUCAGACGGUAAAGCGUCUGACUGCAGUAUGGGAGAACCGGGUUCGAUCCCUGGGUUGAGAAGAUCCCCUGGAGAAAGAAAUGGCAACCCACCCCAGGACUCUUACCUGGAAAAAUCCAUGGACGGAGGAGCCUGGUGGGACUUCUUCAUUUCUCCUCUGAACAUAAGGUUUAGAAUGACCUUGGAAGGAGCUGGAGAUUUUGCACACCUUAGCAAGUAUUUGAGUUGAUAACAUUUGGACUGUCAAUGCUAUAAUCCCUCCCUCCCCACUUCCACCUGCAAGAAGAAGCAAAGACCAAAAUCUACCUGGAACAUCUGUUUUCCUAAGAUGACUUUUUGGCAUUUGUUAUUAUUAGAUUAAUGCUUGCUCAUUGGGAAAAAUGCACACUAUACAAAAUAAUAUAAUAAAAUGCAAAAGCCUCAAAAUCAAGUCCCUCAUUCCUCAUAGGUUAUCAGGGUUAACAGUUUAAAGUGAAUUCUCCAAAAAUUUGUCUAAAUUUCAUUAAAUAUAGUAUACUUAUAGUUUUUAAAUAAUGCAUUCAAGCCAUGUAGAC